UCUAGGUGUGUAAUUUCACGUGCAAUCUAAACCAUUCUUUCUCUUACCAAACUUCCACGCGUCGCUCAUCCCUCCCAGAUUCUCUUACCCCAAAUCAUCUUCCUACAUUCAAAUUUUUCAAAAUUAAUACGACUGUUGCAGUUUUUCAGAUGUAUUUGCUUCAGCUGUAAUAGAUGGAUUCUCUUGAAAAGGCUCCUCUCAAGUCACCGGCACCGAAAUUGGUUAAUGGCAGGGAUGGUUCUAGAGGAUGGAUGGUCAUCUAUAAGCUCAACGCUUCAGUUUUUCUCCCUAAUGUCUCUUUCACUUGGCAUUGGAUCACCUUAUCCAUGGCUCAGAGAAAUGAAAUUAGAAAAAAUAGAUUGUUGGGAAGAAAUAUGUAAGACUCUAUCCUACUUCAUUGUCAGAGGAAUUUUGCCUACAUUCUGAAUCAAUACGAUGCAAUUCUAGCAAGGUAUGCCUUCCUUAGACUCUGUGUAGAAGCAUAUAUAUAAUACAAAGACCUAAACUGGGGACCUUUGAAUUUAUUUUGGAUUAAUUUUAUGAGGGUAGGAUAUUAAGGUUCCCAUUUAAGUUUGAUUCCAUACAACAUAGAAAUCAUUUAUACAUUCUGUCUAAAUGAAUUAUAAUAUAUUUUGUGUAAUUUAUUUGUAAAUAUAUAUUAUUUGUAUUUUGUUUGUAAUUAUGUUACAAGAAUAAUUUAUAGUAUAUUCAUCUUAAUUAUAUUAAUUCCAGUCCUUUUUAAUUCCCUAUCCUGUUAGGAAGUAUUAAGAGAUUUCCACUCACAAAAAUAUUAGGAAAAUGUUAUAGGAAUUAUAUUUAAAGAAUUUGCCCCAAUUUCCAUUUGCACAAACAGCUUCAGUCACAUAACACUGAAAACUUCUAUUUGCUUGAUUUCUUUCUUGAUUCCUGUCUUUAAUAAAUUUAUAUUUGCUUGAUUUCUUUCUUGAUUCCUGUCUUUAUUAAAUUUCUAUUUUCUUGAUUUCUUUCUUGAUUCCCGUCUUUAAUAAAUUUCUAUUUGCUUGAUUUCUUUCUUGAUUCAUGUUAUUAACAGUUUAUAAUAAAUUUCAUUUUCUAAAUGAAGAGGGUUUUUAACCGUUUGACUAAGAGGCUUUCUACUGUGUUUAACUCUGCUUAUAA